rnacentral:lncRNA from 1 species
GCAUGAGUUGUGGAUGAGCUACUAAGCUCUUUUUUUAAUUAUCGAUCUAGAUAGUUAUGGCCUUUUUAUUCAAGCAGACUGAGAUUAUAUUUAGUUAUGACCCAUUAUAUUAUCAUCGUACUGAUUGUUCAAAUAUUUGAUCGACUAUUGAUUAUUCAGGACAUAUGCCAUCAUUGGGUCAAUGGGCUAAGUUAGUAGGUGAGAUUUCAGAAGAUAGCAAAUCCGAGCCUUAUC